CUCUCAUUCGCAUUUCAUUUCUCGUUGCGAGCGGACGUGUCUGAUUGUUGCUGCGUUCAGUUUAAUAAUAUAGUGAACUGCGACUCCUAAGUGAAACUCACUCCAAUUUUAAAUUGUGCCAAAAAUCUAAAUUGUAAAUCACAUAUUAAAAGAUAAAUGAAUGAGUAAAAACCGCACUAAACAAAUUCAACAAAUGCGACGUCAAAUCAAAUACAGUGUUAAUUAAAAUAAUAAAAAAAAAAAGUGCAAGAAGAAGCAGCAAGCGUGACUACCCCUGUUUACAUAGUGUAGACUACCCCCUGAAAGAAACAGCACACACAAUUUGUUGGUGUCAAUUAUACGGGGCAGCUGUGCACAUAAUUUGCGACGCGACUGUAAACACAAAAAGCCGUCAAACUGUGGGGCUCCGGGGCAUUUUUUCUUCCUCCGCACGGAAUGUAUUAUCCGGUAUGUAUCACGAGUAUGGAGGUUUGAAUGAGUAUAUAAGCUGAGGUCUGUAGCUGCCAUAUGUUUUGCAGCAUAUUGUCAAGAAAAUCAACACGCAUUUCCCAUCCAAUCAGCCUGCCCAUAUAUACACUGGGAUAAUGCAGCUAGCUUUCAGUUAUAAGUGCCAUUAUACCCAUCUUAAGCCCAACAUUUAUUAUACGUUGCCGACGCAGUAAGCGCCUUAAGAACAAAGAACAGUCGUAUAUGGCUAUGUAUAUGGGUCUAUGUGGACUUUAUUUACUACACACUAAUGCCACAAAUUAAAAUGCUGUGCCGUAUGCCGUUGCCGUUGCCAAUGGUGCUUAAUGAGUGGAGUUCGUACAACGUGCAAUGUCCCUCGCUUGUCUGGAGUCUAAUUUUAGCUAUCGACUGGCUGACUGGCUGCCCGGCUCCCUUGCCCGGAUCUCUGCUGGGGCUCAACACUCAGACAGUAGCCAAGAGUUGAAUACACAGCAUGGGGUGACCGCUCUCAAAUCUCAACAGCCCUAAAGAGAAAGACACACACAUACACACACGCACACACUAAAACGCACUCACACUCAAGCACACACACGAUGGCAGCAAAGACGAAACGAAAGAAAACAAAAAGAACUGAAAACUUUAUUAAAGACCUGAUCCGACUGCUCUGCCUUUCUGCCUGGCAGACUAAGUGAAUGACGACGAGCUCUCCAUACGCAAUUACGACAAAAAUCCAGAACGUUGUAUGCGCGCCGGGUGAUAAUAUGAGCGAGCCACGAGGUGCAGGGAUAAAAAUAGAGAAGCCUACAUACAUACAUACAUACACAGAGGCAGAGUUACUUAGUUACUCACCGAGCAGUUGGCAGAGAAAAAAUUGAGCUGAAGCUGGAAAGGAUAGUGUAGCAAAUGGCAGGAAGCGCAGAAAGAGAAAAGCCAGUGCUUCGAGAAAGUACAAGAGGCAGCAAGAGAGAACGGCUGUAAACGACUGCACGCUACUCUGUUGGCAGACUCGACUGUGGUAUAUAACAUCUAUGCCAUUCGAAAUGCUAAUUGAAAGCGUAUAUGUCAUAUGUUUACUGGAAAUUAGAAUAGAGUGUUAUAGAGUACACUCAGCUAGGUCAGUUAGGCAAACUAAUAUACUCCUUUGCAGUCUGCAAACAGUGUAUAGGAGUCGCGGCUGCUGCUGCCGCCAUGUGUUGCAUUUCAAAGUGUGUGACUUAUUGCGCAAGCAGAGGGAGCAACUGUCAGAUGAGUCGGGCAAAUGACUAACAACACUGUACAGCAUGCAAGGGCAUUGGAUGCGAUACGAUUUCAAUACGUGGCCGCCACUGAGCCCCCUGAAUUACGGUUGGCCUAUACCUGUCCUGCAACGCCACUCAGUCAGUCAAACACACACACACACACACACAGAGAGAGAUCUGUCGAACCGCAUGCAAAUCAAUCAAUUCAAAUGCGGUCUGCUCAACAAUGCUCAAUAAAUCGGGAAUGCAAUUUAGUCUGAAAGGCAGCUGGAAAGGCAGUGAAACCUUUGAUAUCGGAUUCGCAUAACUUGCCAUUAUUAAAUUCAAUGAGAUCUGUUAGCCAACGGUUUACAGUUGCACUGCCUGCGCUACUUUGCAUCCCCAUGCAGGCACAGACAGGAUAUUCGUAUGGUUUGCUUAUAUGCUAAUGAUUUGUGUAUAAUUAAUGCCAGAUAGUCGUAACCUCGAAAUUGCAGUUAAAGCAACUGUGUCUGCUGCUACUGCAGCUGCUACUGCAACAAAUUACAAAUACCAACAACAUUUUACAUCGCAUAAAAUAUACAUUUGACCCGCACUCGCAUGGCAAUAUGCACAAAACUUACAGCGAAAGUUUGACGUUCGUAAAAUGUUCCAAAAUUUGUUGAAUUUUUUCGCACUUUGCCAACUCUCAAAGGCGUAAAUAUGCAUUCUAAAUCAGUUGACAAGCUUUAGGUUAGGUAAGGUUGUUUGGAAGUUUGCUUGCUGAAGGUCAACAUGGAAAGCCAUAAAAGUAUUUUCUGAUCAAAUAUAUGUUCAUCCAACUACACUUACGUGGAUGGAGCUGCAAUUCGCGGCAUCGUCUGACACUCGAACUCAAAACUAACGACCGCCUUGAGUGUGCAGCACAAAGUGAUUUUAUUGCAAUGCACAAGGAGAGAAGUUACCUUGGAUUUCCUUACAACUUCACGUUCUUUUAGAUAAAAUGCUGCAAUUCCAAUUCCUUAACAAUCUUUGUUCA
rnacentral:sRNA from 1 species